rnacentral:rRNA from 1 species
AUUGAACGCUGGCGUCAGGCCUAACACAUGCAAGUCGAGCGGAUGAGAGGAGCUUGCUUCUCGAUUCAGCGGCGGACGGGUGAGUAAUGCCUAGGAAUCUGCCUGGUAGUGGGGGACAACGUUUCGAAAGGAACGCUAAUACCGCAUACGUCCUACGGGAGAAAGCAGGGGACCUUCGGGCCUUGCGCUAUCAGAUGAGCCUAGGUCGGAUUAGCUAGUUGGUGAGGUAAUGGCUCACCAAGGCGACGAUCCGUAACUGGUCUGAGAGGAUGAUCAGUCACACUGGAACUGAGACACGGUCCAGACUCCUACGGGAGGCAGCAGUGGGGAAUAUUGGACAAUGGGCGAAAGCCUGAUCCAGCCAUGCCGCGUGUGUGAAGAAGGUCUUCGGAUUGUAAAGCACUUUAAGUUGGGAGGAAGGGUUGUAGACUAAUACUCUGCAAUUUUGACGUUACCGACAGAAUAAGCACCGGCUAACUCUGUGCCAGCAGCCGCAGUAAUAC